GAGAUGUCCGACUAUAGAAGAUUAGGGAGUUGUACUGAAACUACAAGGUCAAGCUCCAUAGAAGAUGGCUAGAGCACCAUAGGGACACUAAGGAGAAGCUUGUUCCUUAGAUCCAGGACUGUCUUCUGAGUCAAUGGGAGGGGAUGGUCAGGCAUUGGAGGAGCCAGAACUUUCAGGUUUAAUUUGUAACUUAUGAAUUUUUUAUUAUACUGACAAUUGUAUUUGAUUUUAACUUAUGUGAUUUAAAUACUUUUUGGGCUGCAUCUCAUCAGAAUAGGG
rnacentral:lncRNA from 1 species